GUGAGCUUAGUAUGCAUUGAGUGUGCAAGGAGGGGAAACUGCUGUUUCUCCCUAGCCCUGUGGGAAAGGGCUAAAAGGCCAGAAACACUAUAAAUACUUUUCUGUGCAAGACUGUAUUGAUGCUGGUAAUGGAACUAUAAAUAACUCAUAUGAAGUUACCACUUACUGGACAGAGUCUGAAUGGUUUCUGGGGCAUCAGAGCGUGGGGAUGGAGUGUACCCUGUUACACAAACAAACCAACCUAAGGACAACACAGUACCAUCUGCACUGCAGUCAUUACUCUAGUAUUGGACCAUGACACCACCGUAUUUGAUAAUUGGGCAGCUGUCCAUUCUACUUGGAAGGAGACAUCUUCAAGAAGCAUCUGGAGCUACCACAGCUCCUGGUACUUCAUCUAGCAAUAAAAUGUGGAGGACACCACAUAUGGUCUGCUGUUCUACAAACGAAUAUUGGCAUGUGUGUCAGUGUGACAUCCUUGGCACCACAACUCGUGUCUGUAGCCAUCGCAGCCCGACGUGUUGGCAUCAGGGGGCUACUACCCCUGAAUGGAUCUUUAAUGGCUCCCAGUGGAGCAGAUUACUGUCAUAUCCGUGAAAAAGAUCCACAGUAAUUAACUUGCAUACACUGCAGUUUAUUUGAGAAGGAAUUACAUAAGUGGUAAAGGGUUACAUUAAGCACAUAAGAGUUAUGUUAGACCUUAAAGAACUAUACAUUCCUCUUAGCGAGCCUCUUUCACAAACAUACACAAACAGCUCCUGUGCUAGCCUCACACACUUCCUGCUUGGCAAAUAGAGAAGGUGGUUACCAAUUCUAUGGACGACUUUUUCUCUCCAAGUCUGGUCAACUCAGCCAUCUGGUCUGUCUCUGAUUCCCUCGCGGGAAGGCCUUGGCUGCCUGGAAACCCCUCCGGCUCGCAGUCCUACUCGAGCCCACGGAGCAGCAUUUUGGCUACUCCAUCCAGUAGUGUUGCUUCUUUAACUGUUAAUUAAGGAAUCCCCCCAACAAUUCGGCACCAUCCCAACAAGAUGGCUCAACAAGUGAAAUAGCUGCUACUGCCUCUUGCCUUGCAAAGCUCAGCAAGUGGCGAUGCCCAGCAGUAAGGCUGACCUGCAAUAGCAAUGGACAAUAAUAUGUUGUAGCUAAUUAUAAAAAAGUCACUAUUCCAGAUUUAUUUCACUCCUCCUGGAUGCAGCAUUAUGGGUUUAAACCAUGAUUAUGCCCAUUCCAAUUUAUUGCAAUUAAUUCAUUAUUCAAAGUGAGCUCAAACACCAAGAUGAAGUUGAGAAAUGCAUACCAGUUUCUAGCUUACACAUUGAUCCACUAACCUUUAAAUUAAAAAAAAAAAAAUUAUUAGAUCCAAAGAACACCCAUUCAGAUUAGCAAUGACCUGUGCAAGACGAAACAAAAAAAAUUCUAGAUGGCAGCAGACAUGAUGGUGACUUAGAAAUAAGUAUUUCUAAUACAUGAAUGGAGGUUACUUUUAAGGAUGUGAUUGUUUUACACAUAGUAUUGAUUUUGCUUGUGUUGAUUUUUGUGUUGUCGCCUAUGCAUUUUGCUCAAACAUAUGUUGCACUUGGAUGCUUUGACAUCAGCUACGUACAGUAGAUUCUGCUUCAUAGCAAUCCUGAUACUAGCAACAUCCACUUAAUGGCAACAUUUUCCUGGGACCCUGUCCCAUCCCAUUAAUAUCAAUGGCAUAUGCCCCACGAGGCUGCAGCCAGAGAAGCCUGCCUGCAGCCAAUGCUCAGCCCAUCCUAAUGCUUCUGUCUAGGGCUGCAUCCUAGCAAACCUACCAGCAUACUGGAGAUAAGGCAUGGGACUGGGAGGGGAGGCGGUGGGCAAGGCCCGGCAGGGAAGAGGGCUGCAGUCCAGAUGUCCCUGCACUCUCCUGGCUGUGCCUUAGUGGAGGACUGCACACAAGAAAGGAAACACUGGGAUGUCAUGAGCCCCAAACUCCACAGAGCAGGGAGAGGUACGGUGCAGCCCCAUAGGCUCACAGCACCCUCUCUUUCCAUAGAAAGCCCUGGCAUUCAGGCUGCAGCCCCCCUUCCCACUGCUGCCUGCUUGCAGGCAGGUUUGCAGGGCCACAGCCACAGAAGGCAUGCCCCACCAUUUCCUUCCCUGCUUUGCAAACCUGUUUUCCACUUAUCAGUAACUGCUAGAUAAUGGCAACUUUUUGCUGGCAACAGAGGGAUUGCUAAUAAGCUGAAUCUACAGUAUAUGCAUUUUUCACAGGUGCCAUCCUGAUGCUGUGAUCAAGGUGACAAAAUGGGAACCAGUAGUUAAAUUGUCUGUUCUUUGUAUAGGCAGAAUUUGUCAGAAGCAAGGUGUAUGUUUUGUUUAGAUCAACUCACCAGGACAUCUGAGCAAAUGGAGCUGAUGUGGGAAGUGACCACACUUUGUGUGGCAAGACUGAAGAUCAAACUCCAGAAACACUGCCCAAAAAGUAUCAAGAAAAUUGACAGCAAAAGGCUAGCAGACAAAACAUUACAGCCACGAUUUUUCAAAACGAAUUGAUUUCAGGACUUAGAUCCACAACAAGAAGUCAACAUUAACAUGACCUGGCCCUCGCUGUGUCUCAGUAUCACAGAUGCUGCAAUAACUGUAGCUUAGUUUCCAGACUAACAAAUCUAAAGUCUGGAUAAGUGAGGAUAUGUGGAACUGUGUGAAAGAAAGGAAACCUGUGACCUCGGAGCACCCAAAUGCAAAAUGGCAAGGAUUUUCCUGGUAUGUAACAGCAAAACUCAGCUAGCCUGACUAGCUCAUUGCACCUCACACACUUUUAUUUAAAAGGUGUCAUGUAAUAUAUCAUUUGAAAACCAAUAACACUCUGGUCAUUAAUCACUGUGAAAUGUCUGUAACAAUACUGUAGGUGAAACUAUGGAUACUCUGAUAUGUUUUGGAGACUAAAGAAAGGAGGCAAAAAAUUUUUCCCCAGAGAAAAGGAAAGACAAACACCUGUCUCAAUAGUGAACUGAGUCAGGUGUGACCAGAGACAUGGACAAUGGACUGUUCAUUUACAGGACAUUGUAGGAAGGGUAUUUGCAUUGUAAAAUCACUGGAGACUGUGAAAUCAGCUCCCUGGGGUACUCAGCAAGAAGAGACAAGCUGAGCCCCUCAGGAGUGCUGCCUGACUCUGAGGUCAAAGAUAAACUUUGGGGAAUAUAAGGAACUGUUGAAAGACUUCAGGGUAUCUAUCUCGAGUGAACAAAGAAACCAGCAUUUUGAUGUUGUAAGGGUGGAUCCUGGCUGGAACAGCCAGUUGAGCUGGAGAAAUGGCUGUGAAUAGGGAAACCAUGCUGAACAGGAAUAAUAGCUGAUUAAGUUUUAGUCUUAGUGUUUUACUUUUGUUUAACCAUUUCUAUCUUUAUUCCUCCUUCUUGGUAUCACUUAGCCUAUGUCCUCCUGUUAAUAAACUUGUUUUUUUUACUAUAA